rnacentral:rRNA from 1 species
UUCCGGCCGUGUAUGAUGACGGCCUUAGGAUUGUAAAGUACUUUCAGCGGGGAGGAAGGUGUUAUGAUUAAUACGCUUAUAAAUUGACGUUACCCUCAUAAAAAGCCCCGGCUAACUCCGUGCCAGCAGCCGCGGUAAUACGGAGGGUGCAAGCGUUAAUCGGAAUUACUGGGCGUAAAGCGCACGCAGGCGGUCUAUUAAGUCAGAUGUGAGAGCCCCGAGCUUAACUUGGGAAUUGCAUCUGAAACUGGUUGGCUAGAGUCGUGUAAAGGGGGGUUGAAUU